AGCGUUCCAUCUCCGUUACCUCAAAACGGGCCUCUCUCAGAGUUUGCCGAUUGGUCCUGGCAGUUGGCUGCCCGGAAAAUGCCGCAAGCGUACCACCUGAUUUGACACGCGCUUUGUUCCUGGGCUUAAAACUGACACAGAGUGCUGUGAUGACCGACAGCAGGGACGAGAAAACGCAGUACAGGGUCCCACAUCCUCAGUGACCACCAGCACCGCCCACCUCAUCUUCCUCAGCAUAGAAGUAGCUUUCUUAUGCCAUGGCGAACGGGUCCUAUCUCCCAACACCCCUCCGCAGGCUGUCACUGGCAAACAUGCUGAGAUUCCAGCGGGCUCCAGGGGACACACUUACCGUCAACAGGCGGCAGCCACCGCGAGCAACUGCCAAGAACGCAGUGAGUCACACCUCAGAACUUCACCAAAGAGGCGUCCAUUUCAUCCAAGCCUCCUCUAAUGUGCUGGGGACCGUACCAGCAAGAUGCCUUUUGAAUCGGCCCUGCGCUACACGCAACCUUCUCUCAUUUUGAUAGUCACUGUGCAGGACACCAGCUACCUUGCUCUGCCGAAGGAAAGGGAGAGACCGGGACAAGAAAAGCGGCAGAUGCGUCGCGAUGGAAAGCAACCUGGGUCCUGCUUGUUCAAAACGCGCACCGGGCUCUGGUGAUCGCGAGCGAGCUGCUGGAGAAACGUGUCUCAGACCUGAAAGUGUUGGCACCGCACUUGGAAAGUCAUACGACGUCAAGGAGGAAGAAAUGCAUCCUUAGGAAAUGACUGCAUGAGUUCGUCGAUGUUAUGUGUAAUUCUUUAAAAGGGGGGUUUAACCUGAAUUUCGAUAACAUAUACUGAUUUAUUAACAGAUAUUAUAGCGAACUGUGCAAGGCACGUUGGACAUCAGGAUCUGUUAAAUAAUAAUGCCAGUUAUAAUCCAGCAGGAUUCAAAGGUUGAUAAGCUGCCCUUGGAUUCACUGGGGAGGCCAUCGGGGGCAAUUAAUAUUUUCAGGGGUGGCCACACUCCAUCGUAUUUAUUCUAUGGUUUAGAAAAUAAAAUGGUGCAUAGUUUGUUUUUAUUAUUUUAAUGUGGGCCCGAAAAUGGUGACCUGGAUCUCCCCUUAGACCUGACCCUGCUUGGAUGAGGAGCGCAGUGUGUACUGCUCGGCUGCCCCGCACUUCUCCUUUGGCCUCUCUGACUCCCACUGCAUCCCCACCUGUGGAUUCAUCCUCACUCUUGUCACGGACCCCACUAACUCGUGCUAUUAGAGCCCCCACUGUCCCGGGCUCCUCCUGAUCAGGCUGGGCUCCUGGGAAAUCGACG